UACGGGGGGGGCAAGCGUUGUUCGGAAUUACUGGGCGUAAAGGGCUCGUAGGCGGCCAACUAAGUCAGACGUGAAAUCCCUCGGCUUAACCGGGGAACUGCGUCUGAUACUGGUUGGCUUGAGUGUGGGAGAGGGAUGCGGAAUUCCAGGUGUAGCGGUGAAAUGCGUAGAUAUCUGGAGGAACACCGGUGGCGAAGGCGGCAUCCUGGACCAUUACUGACGCUGAGGCACGAAAGCGUGGGUAGCAAACAGG
rnacentral:rRNA from 1 species